rnacentral:miRNA from 1 species
UCCUCAUUGUACAUGCUGUGU